AAUGCCGCUGGCCCGCGCGUUUGCUCUAACCAGAGAGUCGCGUCGAAGAGGCAACCCUUAGCUCUAGUUAGAGCUGGCGCGUUUGCGGAGUGUCGUGUAUGGGUGCUAAUAAUGAUUUUCGUUGCGCGUAAAGCGUUUUUACCCUUUUCCACACAAACAUGACGGAUUUAAAUUAGCACCUGUAAAGAAUAGCAAAGCGGAAAAAUGGAAGAUAGCUCGCCAGAUUUAAGUUUAAAGUUACGGAGGGGCUCGAGCGAUUCUAGGGAUUCUUUCUACAUGGAUUUCGAUAAGGGCAUUGAUUCGGAUAUCGAAGAAAUGGCUACAACGUCCGCCGCCGAUCUGGGUGAUACUACCGCCGAAACGACCGCCACCCCUACGGCGGCUCCGCAGCAAAAAGAUGAAAGAGCGAGUUUGAUUCGGCAAAGUAUAUCUCAGGAAAAGAGAAAACGAAAACUGUAAUGAAAUGGAGUGCCAAUUGAUUUGGACCGGAAGUACUGCGAUAUUGCAACGAUUUUAAGCCUACUGAGCAUUAUAUAUGUGCAAUAUUUUCGACCGGUAAAUAAAGUGGAUCAACGAUACGAAUAAUGAAUGUGCCCGGGUAGUUGGGCAAUGAACUGAUCAAACACAGAUUAAUAUUUGGGAAAAGGAUUGAUAGGUUUUUGAAAUUUACAAAUACAUCGUCCUUUCUUAAUAAAACUGAGCGCAUCUUAGGUAUCAUAUCGUAAAUCCAUGGGGGGUGUGACGUCGAGCUGGCGUUUGAUCCUUCACUCAACGGUUUGAUGUAAGAUACUUAUGCGAACUACGAACCGAAACCCUCUACCUACACUUUAUCUUAUGAAGGGGACACCCUAAGAAAUAAAUGAUAGAUCCAGUUUUCACCGAGAGGAAUGUCCAAACAAAUUUGUGAGGAAAUGACCAUUUGUUGGAACAUUACCGGAUUAUACCCAUAUUCGGUUUUUAAAAUGUCUGAGCAUGAUGGCAGAGGGCAUAUGAUUUGAAGGGGAGAACUCGUAAGUGAAAAGGCUCGAUGUCGACACAAAAAUAAAAACGCAUGUCGCAUUAAAACAAAUUGCGAAGUGCAUUCAUGGGAAGUAACCCGCGAAUACGUUAAUGGAACGAUUUAAGCUAAUAGAAUAAUAGCUUUGUUACCCGUUCUAACCCUACACACUUAGUGUGCGCAUCCAACUGGCUUAUGUUGUACCUUCCAAUAAUGGCUGGUUCCAAUUAAAUUACACUAAAAAUGCUAAUCGAAGACAAAACGUUAAGGUAUGUCCUUUUCAACGUACGAAGACGUGCACCCCAAGGGAAUGAAAGGAAACCUAAAAUAGAUCAUAAAAACAAUUCUGUUUCCUGAACUGACGAAAAACAGUUGGCCCACAAUUCCGCCCCAGAAUAUCAGUGGAGGUAGUCGAAGUAGCGCGUUAGGUGGCGGCGAUCCCUUGCUGCCGUCCCCUGCUUCGCCGAGUGCCAUUAUUGUUUCCCCGGAAACGCUGAGCCACCAGUCGUCUCCCAGCAAGGCGGCAAAACAAGGGCAUGUGCAAAUAGCGCCGACACCAAGGUAUCUUUUGCGGCACAAUGCAUGCUGCAUACGCAGUAAAUCAAUUGUCAAAGAACUACAGCUCAAUCUCGGUGUCGUGACAUAAUAAGCUUAAAUUCUCGGCACGCGAUUUCCCCUGGAAUCUUAAUACGGCGACGUUUUGUGCGUUGAAGUCACGGAAUGCUUAAAGAAUCACGGCAAAUAUUUGGAAACCUUUUAAUUACCUCUGCGCCAGUGUUUCGUAAUUGAGAAGGGUAGACUGAAUUUCAUUUUUAAGCUCGGUGUUUGUAUACCACCUU